rnacentral:lncRNA from 1 species
GUCACAUCCCGUGUGGCUGUGGAGGUCGCUGUGUGACUGUGGAGGUUGCUGUGUGACUAUGGAGGUCACUAUGUGACUAUGGAGGUCGCUGUGUGACUGUGGAGGUCUCAUCCAUGUGGCUGUGGAGGUCUCUGUGACCAUGGAGGUCACGUCCCAUGUGGCCGUGGAGGUCGCUGUGUGACUAUGGAGGUCGCGUCCCAUGUGGCUGUGGAGGUCGCUGUGUGACCAUGGAGGUUACUGUGUGACUAUGGAGGUCGCUGUGUGACUAUGGAGGUUGCUGUGUGACUAUGGAGGUCUCGUCCAUGUGGCCGUGGAGGUCUCUGUGUGACUAUGGAGGUCGCGUCCCGUGUGGCUGUGGAGGUCGCUGUGUGGCUAUGGAGGUCGAGUCCCGUGUGGCUGUAGAGGUCGCUGUGUGACUAUGGAGGUCUCGUCCAUGUGGCUCUGAAGGUCGCUGUGUGGCUAUGGAGGUCGAGUCCCGUGUGGCUGUAGAGGUCGCUGUGUGACUAUGGAGGUCUCGUCUGUGUGGCUGUGGAGGUCGCUAUGUGACUAUGGAGGUUGCUGUGUGACUAUGGAGGUCUCGUCCAUGUGGCCGUGGAGGUCUCUGUGUGACUAUGGAGGUCGCGUCCCAUGGUCCCAUGUGGCUGUGGAGGUCGUGUGUGACUAUGGAGGUCUUGUCCACGUGGCUGUGGAGGUCUUUGUGUGACUAUGGAGGUCAUGUCCCAUGUGGCUGUGGAGGUCUCUGUGUGACUAUGGAGGUCGAGUCCCAUGUGGCUGUAGAGGUCGCUGUGUGACUAUGGAGGUCUCGUCUGUGUGGCUGUGGAGGUCGCUGUGUGACUAUGGAGGUCAUGUCCCAUGUGGCUGUGGAGGUCUCUGUGUGACUAUGGGGGUCACGUCCUGUGUGGCUGUGGAGGUCUCUGUGUGAGUAUGGAGCUCAUGUCCCAUGUGACUGUGGAGGUCGCUGUGUGACUAUGGAGGUCGCUGUGUGACUGUGGAGGUCUCGUCCAUGUGGCUGUGGAGGUCUUUGUGUGACCAUGGAGGUCACGUCCCGUGUGACUGUGGAGAUCUCUGUGUGACUAUGGAGGUCUCGUCCAUGUGGCCGUGGAGGUCUCUGUGUGACUAUGGAGGUCGCGUCCCGUGUGGCUGUGGAGGUCGCUGUGUGACUAUGGAGGUCUCGUCUGUGUGGCUGUGGAGGUCGCUGUGUGACUAUGGAGGUCAUGUCCCAUGUGGCUGUGGAGGUCUCUGUAUGACUAUGGGGGUCACGUCCUGUGUGGCUGUGGAGGUCUCUGUGUGACUAUGGAGGUUUCAUCCAUGUGGCUCUGAAGGUCUCUGUGUGAUUAUGGGGGUCACGUCCUGUGUGGCUGUGGAGGUCUCUGUGUGAUUAUGGAGCUCAUGUCCCAUGUGGCUGUGGAGGUCGCUGUGUGACUAUGGAGGUCGCUGUGUGACUGUGGAGGUCUCGUCCAUGUGGCUGUGGAGGUCUUUGUGUGACUAUGGAGGUCACGUCCGUGUGGCUGUGGAGGUCUCUUUGUGACUAUGGAGAUCUCUGUGUGACUAUGGAGGUUUCAUCCAUGUGGCUCUGAAGGUCUCUGUGUGACUAUGGAGGUUGCGUCCCAUGUGGCUGUGGAGGUCGCUGUUUGACUAUGGAGGUCUCGUCCGUGUGGCUCUGGAGGUCGCGUGUGUGACUAUGGAGGUCUCGUCCAUGUGGCUGUGGCGGUCUCUAUGUGACUAUGGAGGUCUCGUCUGUGUGGCUAUGGAGGUCUUUGGGUGACUAUGGUGGUCACGUCCCAUGGUCCCAUGUGGCUGUGGAGGUCGUGUGUGACUAUGGAGGUCUCGUCCACGUGGCUUUGGAGGUCUUCGUGUGACUAUGGAGGUCACGUCGCAUGUGGCUGUGGAGGUCGCUGUGUGACUAUGGAGGUCUCAUCUGUG